rnacentral:lncRNA from 1 species
AAUACAGAGUGUCUUGUGGACAACGUCAUUCAGUUGCAGAUCACAGAGAUAUUCAAGAUAUUCCUGCUCUUUUCAAGAUUAUCUAAAAACCAACUCACCAAUCGAAAUGGCCAAGGCUCUGUUCUUUGUUCUGGCUUGUGCCCUCAUCGUCGCCGUCAUCGCUGAUUACGAGCUCAACGACGACACCCUUGAGCUCUUUGAGACCGAGAAGAGGGGUAUGGGACGGAGUCUCAAGAAGUACAAGGCCUGCCAACAAUUCGGCAUGGAAUGCUGGUGCAACAGGCGUAGUGGUUCAGUCGUCUUCUGUAGCGGCGCCGGAAAUGGAGAUAACAUGUAAAGUCUCUGAUAGCAUCCGUUGACCAAUCCCGGAUCAGAAAGGAAUGACGUACGGAACAGUUUUGACCAUUCACAUUCUCUCUUUUUCUUUGAUUUUCUAACUUUAAAUCUUAUGGAUUCCAACAUUCCGUGAAACUGUAAUAAAACUAUUUUAAACAAG